rnacentral:rRNA from 1 species
CAGUAGCCGCGGUAAUACGGAGGGUGCAAGCGUUAAUCGGAAUUACUGGGCGUAAAGCGCACGCAGGCGGUCUGACAAGUCAGAUGUGAAAUCCCCGGGCUUAACCUGGGAACUGCAUUUGAAACUGUCAGGCUGGAGUCUUGUAGAGGGGGGUAGAAUUCCAGGUGUAGCGGUGAAAUGCGUAGAGAUCUGGAGGAAUACCGGUGGCGAAGGCGGCCCCCUGGACAAAGACUGACGCUCAGGUGCGAAAGCGUGGGGAGCAAACAGGAUUAGAUACCCCUGUAGUCCCUGUCUCUUAUAA